GUGGUCCCCAACCCAGUCCUUAUGGACUACCAACAAUCCAGGAUUUAUGUAUUUCCCUUUUAUAUUCAAAUGGAGAUAUUGACAAAACCUGGAUUGUUGGUGGUCCAUGAGGACUGGGUUGGGGACCA
rnacentral:miRNA from 1 species